GGAGAGGUGGCAGAGCGGUCUAAUGCACACGCUUGGAGAGCGUGAGUCCGAGAAAUCGGACCGCGAGUUCGAAUCUCGCCCUCUCCG
rnacentral:tRNA from 1 species